rnacentral:rRNA from 1 species
GGGUUGUGAGGUUAAGCGACUAAGCGUACACGGUGGAUGCCCUGGCAGUCAGAGGCGAUGAAGGACGUGCUAAUCUGCGAUAAGCGUCGGUAAGGUGAUAUGAACCGUUGUAA